rnacentral:tRNA from 1 species
AUUAGAAUAGGUUAUGUUGGACCAUCACUCUUCAAAAGUGAAAGUUAAUCUCUAAUU